rnacentral:rRNA from 1 species
CCUACGGGUGGCAGCAGUGAGGAAUAUUGGUCAAUGGACGAGAGUCUGAACCAGCCAAGUAGCGUGAAGGAUGACGGCCCUAUGGGUUGUAAACUUCUUUUAUAUGGGAAUAAAACGUUCCACGUGUGGGAUUUUGUAUGUACCAUAUGAAUAAGGAUCGGCUAACUCCGUGCCAGCAGCCGCGGUAAUACGGAGGAUCCGAGCGUUAUCCGGAUUUAUUGGGUUUAAAGGGAGCGUAGGUGGAUUGUUAAGUGAGUUGUGAAAGGUUGCGGCUCAACCGUGAAACUGCAGUGGAAACUGGCAGUCUUGAGUACAGUAGAGGUGGGCGGAAUUCGUGGUGUAGCGGUGAAAUGCUUAGAUAUCACGAAGAACUCCGAUUGCGAAGGCAGUUCACCGGAGUGCAACUGACACUGAGGCUCGAAAGUGUGGGUAUCAAACAGGAUUAGAUACCCUGGUAGUC